CAAUAGCGUAUAUUUAAGUUGUUGCAGUUAAAAAGCUCGUAGUUGGAUUUCGGGUAGGAUUUGCCGGUCCGUCUUUGAGAUGUGUACUGGUAAGUACUAUCUUCUUGUCGGGGACCAGCUCCUGGGCUUCACUGUCCGGGACUGGGAGCCGACGAAGUUACUUUGAGUAAAUUAGAGUGUUCAAAGCAAGCCUACGCUCUGAAUAUAUUAGCAUGGAAUAACACGAUAGGACUCUGGCUUAUCUUGUUGGUCUGUGAGACCAGAGUAAUGAUUAAGAGGGACAGUCGGGGACAUUCGUAUUUCAUUGUCAGAGGUGAAAUUCUUGGAUUUAUGAAAGACGAACUACUGCGAAAGCAUUUGCCAAGGAUGUUUUCAUUAA
rnacentral:rRNA from 1 species